rnacentral:piRNA from 1 species
UAACCAUCCGCUUUGCCACAGAUCUGUAGC